rnacentral:tRNA from 1 species
GGGGGCGUAUAGCUCAGUGGUAGAGCAUUCGGAUGCAGAUCGAGAGGUUUCCGGUUCAAACCCGGGUGUCCCUU